GAAAAGGAGAGAACACAAAGUGAAUGGGCGAGCGUCGGAAUGGGAGCAAUACAGCCUGCCCUGGCGAGAGAUGAAAGAGGGAAGAAGGGGCUGAGAUUCUGGGACGCUGUAAUCCCAAAAACUUAGUCAGGACAAGGGGCGCGGAGCCAAAGGCGAUGGCAGAUCUGGCUAGGAGAAAGAUGGGGAGGAUGCAGGAGUAUCACUCACAACCCCUAAGUCUCCUCACUCCCCGGAGAAGCCCAAGAGCACGGGGGGAGGAUGGAGAGGAAGAUCUUGAGCUCUCAACGCCACCUUAUGCUCCUGUCCCUAGGAAAUGCAAAGCAAACUUUUUAACAUCUGCCCAGUCCUUAUGUUCAGGAAAUAAAUACCAGAAGAUAGCUUUAGUCGUUCAGCCGUGCUUCGUGCUCAUUUUCCAGAUGAGGGAAUGAGGCAAACAGGGUUAAACUUACCCAGAGUCACACGCUAGUGAGUGUUCUGAGGCUGGAGUUGAACUCAGGUGUUCCUGACUCUCUACCCCCAUUCACCUAGCUACCCCAUUCCCGGAGAUAUUCCUUUUGGACGCUCAUUAGAAUCGAGAUUCGCAAAAGGGGGAAAGGGAAGAAGACAAUAAGAAGAGUUGUCAACUGAGGCCUCUGCUCCAGAUGCUGCAAUGGAGAGAGAUCUGGACUGAAGAGUCAGAGGGCUAAAGUCAAAUCCCAGCUCUUUCAUUCACUACCUGUGACUGGAGGAAAUACACUUAGCCAGUUCCCUCAAACAUAAAAUACAGUGGAGAGUGGGGGGAGUGUUGAACAGAACAUUUCUAGAAAACUAAGCUUCUGUGAUGGAAAUGAGGCAGCAAGGAUGGGAGAUAGAAGGCUGACUCUGGAAUUAGAAGACAUGGGUUCACAAGCUGCCUCUGACACUACCUAUGUGACUUUGGGCAAAUUAACAUCUCUCUCUGAACCUCAGUUUCCUCAUCUGUAGGAGAGUUUAGGAGGUUGGACUAGAUUCCUCUGAGGUUCCUGCCCUUUCUAAAUCUGAUUCUGCGCUCUGUAAUUCCUCUAAUUCUUCAUUAUAAGCAUGUGAGGGAAAGAACAGCAUCUCUGGGAGAUGAGCCUCUGACUCAGACUGCAGAACAUCCCUGCUUACUCUAUCACUCCCAGCUCUUGCUCUCCUUUUAAGUAUCUGCUCAGCCAAUACAGCUUGGAGUUAAAUCACUUCCCACUGCAAAGACUUUUCUGCAUAAAUUGUACUGAGAAUUAGAAUAGAUAACUACUCCUAUAGUCACUAAUGACAGAACUCCUUCUGCUCAGAUGCCAUGCAUUGUCUCUGCCUUCAUUCUUCUUGACUAUUAAAGUUUCUUUAGUAA